ACCGCAUAACGUCGCAAGACCAAAGAGGGGGACCUUCGGGCCUCUUGCCAUCAGAUGUGCCCAGAUGGGAUUAGCUAGUAGGUGGGGUAAUGGCUCACCUAGGCGACGAUCCCUAGCUGGUCUGAGAGGAUGACCAGCCACACUGGAACUGAGACACGGUCCAGACUCCUACGGGAGGCAGCAGUGGGGAAUAUUGCACAAUGGGCGCAAGCCUGAUGCAGCCAUGCCGCGUGUGUGAAGAAGGCCUUCGGGUUGUAAAGCACUUUCAGCGAGGAGGAAGGUGGUGAACUUAAUACGUUCAUCAAUUGACGUUACUCGCAGAAGAAGCACCGGCUAACUCCGUGCCAGCAGCCGCGGUAAUACGGAGGGUGCAAGCGUUAAUCGGAAUUACUGGGCGUAAAGCGCACGCAGGCGGUUUGUUAAGUCAGAUGUGAAAUCCCCGGGCUCAACCUGGGAACUGCAUUUGAAACUGGCAAGCUAGAGUCUCGUAGAGGGGGGUAGAAUUCCAGGUGUAGCGGUGAAAUGCGUAGAGAUCUGGAGGAAUACCGGUGGCGAAGGCG
rnacentral:rRNA from 1 species